rnacentral:rRNA from 1 species
GGUUGAUCCUGCCAGAGGUUACUGCUAUCGGUGUUCGCCUAAGCCAUGCGAGUCAUAUGUAGCAAUACAUGGCGUACUGCUCAGUAACACGUGGAUAACCUGCCCUUGGGACCGGCAUAACCCCGGGAAACUGGGGAUAAUUCCGGAUAACGCAUAUUUGCUGGAAUGCUUUAUGCGUCAAAAGGAUUCGUCUGCCCAAGGAUGGGUCUGCGGCCUAUCAGGUAGUAGUGGGUGUAAUGUACCUACUAGCCAGCGACGGGUACGGGUUGUGAGAGCAAGAGCCCGGAGAUGGAUUCUGAGACAUGAAUCCAGGCCCUACGGGGCGCAGCAGGCGCGAAAACUUUACAAUGCGGGAAACCGUGAUAAGGGGACACCGAGUGCCAGCAUCAUAUGCUGGCUGUCCGGAUGUGUAAAAUACAUCCGUUAGCAAGGGCCGGGCAAGACCGGUGCCAGCCGCCGCGGUAACACCGGCGGCCCGAGUGGUGAUCGUGAUUAUUGGGUCUAAAGGGUCCGUAGCCGGUUUGGUCAGUCCUCCGGGAAAUCUGAUAGCUCAACUAUUAGGCUUUCGGGGGAUACUGCCAGACUUGGAACCGGGAGAGGUAAGAGGUACUACAGGGGUAGGAGUGAAAUCUUGUAAUCCCUGUGGGACCACCUGUGGCGAAGGCGUCUUACCAGAACGGGUUCGACGGUGAGGGACGAAAGCUGGGGGCACGAACCGGAUUAGAUACCCGGGUAGUCCCAGCCGUAAACGAUGCUCGCUAGGUGUCAGGCAUGGCGCGACCGUGUCUGGUGCCGCAGGGAAGCCGUGAAGCGAGCCACCUGGGAAGUACGGCCGCAAGGCUGAAACUUAAAGGAAUUGGCGGGGGAGCACAACAACGGGUGGAGCCUGCGGUUUAAUUGGACUCAACGCCGGACAACUCACCGGGGGCGACAG